rnacentral:rRNA from 1 species
UACGUAGGGUGCAAGCGUUGUCCGGAUUUAUUGGGCGUAAAGAGCGUGUAGGCGGCUAGAUAGGUCCGUUGUGAAAACUCGAGGCUCAACCUCGAGACGUCGAUGGAAACCAUCUGGCUAGAGUCCGGAAGAGGAGAGUGGAAUUCCUGGUGUAGCGGUGAAAUGCGCAGAUAUCAGGAGGAACACCGAUGGCGAAGGCAGCUUACUGGGACGAUACUGACGCUGAGGAGCGAAAGCGUGGGGAGCGAACAGG